rnacentral:lncRNA from 1 species
UGGCGGCCAAAUGUUUUAGGGUAAAGGAGUGGCUCAAAAACCUCAGAAAACAAACUUGAAAGUAGGUAUUUAUAGGUGAAAUUAGGGUUCUUGAAUUGUUAAGUAGGAAUUUGAAUUUCAUAUUUUGAAAUUGGUCGAAGAUAACCAUUAAAGCUCGAACGUUGGGUUUUAUGAAUUUACUCGACAGUAUUCACGUGAAUGAUAUAGCAAUAACACGAAAAUAGAGUGAACUUUUGUCCAUAGCUAAAGAACAUUGGAGUUUUG